rnacentral:rRNA from 1 species
AUCUAUGGCUAUAUCACCCUAAACAGACCCCAUCUCUUCUGCUCUUGGAAGUUCAGUGGGGUUGGACCUGGUUAGUACUUGGGGGAAAAUAUAAACA